CAAUAGCGUAUAUUAAAGUUGUUGCGGUUAAAAGCUCGUAGUUGGAUUUCUGCUGAGGACGACCGGUCCGCCCUCUGGGUGAGUAUCUGGCUUGGCCUUGGCAUCUUCUUGGAGAACGUAGCUGCACUUGACUGUGUGGUGCGGUAUCCAGGACUUUUACUUUUUGAGGAAAAUUAGAGUGUUUCAAGCAGGCACACGCCUUGAAUACAUUAGCAUGGAAUAAUAAGAUAGGACCUCGGUUCUAUUUUGUUGGUUUCUAGAGCUGAGGUAAAUGAUUAAAUAGGGAUAGUUGGGGGGCAUUCGUAUUUAACUGUCAGAGGUGAAAAUUCUUGGAUUUGUUAAAAGACGGACUACUGCGAAAAGC
rnacentral:rRNA from 1 species